AUGGAAGGCAUAAUGGAUCAUUUGGUGCAUGAGAGGAGCAAGGCACAGUCCAAUGUUGAGGAGAUGAAGGUCAUCUGGGCAGGUUCUCACCACGCCUUCCAAGUCUCUGAUCAGAUCGCUUGACUCGUUGCUAGCGAUCCAGGCUUUAGAAAGUACAACAGAGCUGUGCUAAGCAGGAAGGAGUUGUUUAAAAGUACGAGCUCUGAGAAAAGCAGCUUAUGUGUGGAAAAGGAUCCAUGAGCUUGGACUUUAUGAAGAAGAGGCAUCAUGGUUGAGGUUCUAUGUUGAUGAAUUUACUUAUGCUUAUGUUCAUUGGGGAAUGUUUGCGCCUGCUAUUAAAGGGUCUGCUACUGAGGAUCAGCAACAACAGUGGUUACCUUUGGCAAACAAGAUGCAAAUAAUUGGUACUUAUGCACAAACUGAACUUGGUCAUGGCUCCAACAUUCAAGGCCUUGAGACAACCGUGACUUUUGAUCCGGAGACAGAUGAGUUCACCAUCCAUAGUCCUACCCUGACCUCAAGCAAAUGGUGGCCUGGUGGAUUGGGAAAGGUUGCUACACAUGCUGUUGUUUAUGCUCUGCUUAUUACUAAUAACCAAGAUUAUGGAGUACAUGGUUUCCUAGUCCAAAUUCGGAGCCUAGAUGACCACUUUCCUCUUCCAGGUGUAACAGUUGGUGAUAUUGGGAUGAAAUUUGGAAGUGGAGCAUUCGAUUCCAUGGACAAUGGUGUCCUUAUAUUCGAUCAAGUGCGCAUUCCAAGGAAUCAAAUGCUGAUGAGGUUCUCAAGGGUCACAAGACAAGGAAAGCAUAUAGAAUCCAACGUUCUGAAGCAGCUGCUUUAUGGAGCUAUGGUUUGUGUCAGACAAAUCAUUGUAGCUGAUACUUCCAUUGCCUUGUCAAGACUCAAAAGCAGGUACACAUUGCUACCCGGUACAGUGCUGUUCGUCGACAAUUUCGUUCUCCACAAAAUCAAGAUAGUGUUGAGACACAGGUCAUUGAAUACAAGACUCAGCAAAGUACUCUUCCCUUUGCUGGCUUCUACCUAUGCUUUCAGAUUUGUCGGCGAGUGGUUGAAAUGCCUAUACACAGAAUGACAGAAUUGAUCCAAAAGUUGGAAGCUAACAAUUUCUCUAUGCUGCCGAAGGCGCAUGCCUGCACUGCUGGUUUGAAGGCCUUGACUACUUCCGCUGCUGUUGACAACGUAGAAGAAUGUCGGAAACUAUGUGGUGGCCAUGGUUACUUGUCUAGCUGUGGACUUACUGAGCUAUAUCACUUACAUGCUUCUUUUUUCUCUGCUUGUAUUUAUGAAGGAGAUAACAUUGUUCUACUUAAGUACUUAUACAUGUUUCAAGAUUUCUCAUGAAGACCAUUUCUCAGUUGCAGACUGGGGAAAAGCCUAAUGGAACCACAACUUAUAUGGGUCAUGCGGAGCACUUUAUCCGAUGUCACUGUAAGGUUCAAAAAGCUGAGGAUUGGUUCCAUCCCACUGUAAUACUUGAGGCAUUUGAAGCAAGGGCUAUUAGAUUGUCGGUUGCUUGUGCCGAAAAUCUCACCAAGUUUACCAGUCCAACUUUUCUGAACUCUCACCAGAUUUAGUUCAAGCUGCAGUUGCUCAUUGGCAAUUAAUUGUGGUCUCCAAGUUCCUUGAGAAGUUGCAGCAAAACAUUGAAGGAAAUGGAGUGAAACAAGUUAAUUGGAGACCCUCUUCAACAUAUACUGUUUGAAUCUUAUUCAGAAAAAUUUGGGUGAUUUUCUGUCAACUAGAAGCAUCAGUCCCAAGCAAGCUUCACUUGCCAGUGAUCAAGUUAGGAAUCUGUAUUCCAAGCUUCGUCCCAAUGUUAUAGUCCUUGUUGAUGCAUAUAAUUACACACAUCAUUUCCUUGGCUCGAUUCUUGGGUGCUAUGAUGGUAAUGUGUAUCCCAAGCUCUAUGAGGAAGGCAUGGAAAGAUCCACUCAAUGACUUUGUUCAGUGUGUUGUACAUGAUGGCUAUCAUGAAUACAUCCAACCUCUGCUGAAGCAACAACUCCGGAGUGCAAGGCUUUGAAGAUAUCAAUAUCAAUGACCUCAAGAGCAGCAAAUCCUCUUUCAAUUUUCUGUUGUAGCUCGUUUUACUAAAGUU